rnacentral:misc_RNA from 1 species
UCGGUAGUCUCGCUGGGUGAG